GUAUUAACCAACCCCAUGAGGAGAAUCAAAGACAACUCUAUCCUAGUAUUUCAUUUGAGGAAGGAACACUGAUAUUUGCAUU
rnacentral:lncRNA from 1 species